rnacentral:rRNA from 1 species
UACGAAGGGUGCAAACGUUGCUCGGAAUCAUUGGGCGUAAAGCGCACGUAGGCGGCCUGAUAAGUCGGAUGUGAAAUCCCUCGGCUCAACUGAGGACGUGCAUUCGAAACUGCCAGGCUCGAGUAUGGAAGAGGGUCGCGGAAUUCCCGGUGUAGAGGUGAAAUUCGUAGAUAUCGGGAGGAACACCAGUGGCGAAGGCGGCGCCCUGGGCCAAUACUGACGCUGAGGUGCGAAAGCGUGGGGAGCAAACAGG